UAAAAAGCCAUACGACUGCUAAGGAUGAGUACUUUGCUGCAGCACAUUUAAACCUAAUUGUCAGAGGAGAAAAGCAAGCGGAUUUCAGAGGUGAGUUAGAAGAGCAUCCUUAUGAGGAUGAUGUCUUCACUAAAUCAGUGGUGCAAUGCAGCAAGCAGGGUGGAAAGGAGUCUCCUCUGGAUAAAGUCCUGUGACUCAUUUAAAAAGACUGAACAUCACUUUGACGUACACAAACAGAACUAGAAAGCAGCUCAAGCCAAUGAAACAAAGCUUGUUUUGCAGGAAAACAUUAGGUAAACAUUCCUAGAAAGACAGAA